AGCGAACGCUGGCGGCAGGCUUAACACAUGCAAGUCGAGCGCCCCGCAAGGGGAGCGGCAGACGGGAGAGUAACACGUGGGAACAAACCUUUUGGUUCGGAACAACUGAGGGAAACUUCAGCUAAUACCGGAUAAGCCCUUACGGGGAAAGAUUUAUCGCCGAAAGAUUGGCCCGCGUCUGAUUAGCUAGUUGGUGAGGUAACGGCUCACCAAGGCGACGAUCAGUAGCUGGUCUGAGAGGAUGAUCAGCCUCACUGGGACCGAGACACGGCCCAGACUCCUACGGGAGGCAGCAGUGGGGAAUAUUGGACAAUGGGGGCAACCCUGAUCCAGCCAUGCCGCGUGAGUGAUGAAGGCCUUAGGGUUGUAAAGCUCUUUUGCCCGGGAAGAUAAUGACGGUACCGGGAGAAUAAGCCCCGGCUAACUUCGUG
rnacentral:rRNA from 1 species